AUUGAACGCUGGCGACAGGCCUAACUCAUGCAAGUCGAGCGGAGCAGCGGACGGGAGAUUAAUGCCUAGGAAUAUGCCUGGCAGUGGGAGAUAACGUCCGGAAAAGGUCCCUAAUACCGCAUACUAUUAGAUGUGUUUAGGUCGGAUUAGCUAGUUGGUGGGGUAAAGGCUUAACAAGGCGACGAUCAGUAAAUGUUCUGAGAGGAUGAUCGGUCACACUGGAACUGAGACACGGUCCAGACUCCUACGCGAGGCAGCAGUGGUGAAUAUUUGACAAUGGGCUAAAGCCUGAUCCAGCCAGUCCGCGUGUGUGAAGAAGGUCUUCGGAUUGUAAAGCACUUUAAGUGGGGAGGCGUUACCAACAGAAUAAGCACCGGCUAACUUCGUGCCAGCAGCCGCGGUAAUUC
rnacentral:rRNA from 1 species